GUAAGUACUGAAGAACGGCUAUUAUAUAGACGGCGCCAGUCUUCGUUCGAAAUAAAAAAGAAGAGAAAAGAAAGAAACUCGGUGAAAAUGUAAGGUGACGCUCGAGAAUGAUGUUACGACGACGAGAUGUUCGUACGCGUAGUCUCGCGCACACCGCCCAUCGUAAAUCUUCGUAUAAGUGGGAAGAUUCUAUCUCGUUCCAUAAUAAAAAAAGAUAAAAAAAGAGAAAGAAAAAAAAAAUAAUGAAAUCGAAUCGAAGAAUUCGUUUUCGAGAAAAAUUGCAUUCGAAAGUCAAUGGGGGCUUAAUACUUCAAAACAAUUUCUUCUAUCACAGUCAACUACUGGUUUCACAGUGCAAAGACGAAGAUCUUCUUCCAUAAUAGUGAAAUCAUUAUCACCAGUCCUCUUUCUAUAUACUAGUUGGUGGUCUCUUAAACAAAACCACCUUCUGUUCCACGUUUUAAAUGCAUUACUAGUGCGUUUAAAGAGGUAUCCUUCCAUCUUAGGAUUACUAGGUACUGGAGAAGGUAUUAAGUCUCUAUUCGUAACAUAAAUAUGCCGAUUUUCCAUUUCUUUCUCUAGUUUUACGGAAUCGGCCCUCAUUUUAAUUAAAUUCUCCCCGAGAUCUUUUAGGAAUGGAUCCAAAUCUUGUGCUAGAUCGCUACCUUGAUGGUAAUAAGUAAUACACGCAUUCAUAUAAUUAAGUAGGGUACCCAAUAUUUCGUGUCGCUUACGCGCUUGUAUCAUCGUUAAAGAAUGAAUAUAAUCCAAAGCUGUAUGCCGGAAACAGGAUCUCGUAGCUGAUAAAAUAUUUGAAGUUUCUUCAUACUCUGCUGGUCUGGACUUUGGAACUUGGGAAUUUCGGUUUAAUGCUAUAUCUAGGUCUGCAGAGAUUUUUUCAAAGUAAUGACGAGAUUCUUUCACCCUCUUAAUGUCACUAAAAAAUAAUAAGAAUGUUAUGUAAGAACAAUAAGAAUAUUAAGAAUGUUACAUGUGUAUGUAUGUAUACAGAUAAACAUAUAGAUUACGUAUGAUUAUGUAAUUAAUUAGUUAAAUUACCUUUUGAUGAAUGAGUUAAGAUCUUUAAUUACUGUCCUAGAUGCUUGAUCUAAUAAAAUAGUAUGAAACUUGUUCAUUUCUUGUAAAGCAUGAAUUAGUUUAUUGAGUAAGGCCAUUAUCUCUGAAUCAUCAGUAAAGUAAAGAGAUAAUUCCCACAGGCUAUUGGCAAAUUGGCUGGAAACAAAACAAUGCAUACAGUAAUUUUUUAAUAUUCUUUUAGAUAAAUAGAUUAGAAAAAUU
rnacentral:misc_RNA from 1 species